AUGGUAGGCAUGAAACAAAGAUAUUUGCUCAAUGUAUUAUUUACACUAUGUGGCUAAUAUCUUUAAUUUUCUACUGUAGCCAGGAAAUGUAGUAAUUUUGUGGAGUUUCAAGUUCUUUUAUAAAAAUAAGAGCAGUUUAUUUUUUGAAAUGAAAAAUGUGUUAAAAAUCACAUAAUAUUUUCUCAGCUGAAGUUAAAGCAUGAAUGUCUGGUUGAAGAGAUUUAAUCAGUUUUGCCUGACCACAGCUAUGUCUGCCAGUGCCUGCAGGGGCUGAUAGUCAAGAGAGAGAAGGGAGGAUAGUGGGAAAGACCAAGCUCAGAAUUUCCACCAGGCUGCUGAAGAAUUAGCUAAAAGAUGAAGAAGGCCUGAUGAUGAUGAUGAUGAUGAUGAUGAUGAUGAUGAUGGUGAUACUGACAAGAAGUAUAUACCUGAAAUAAAACAGAACUAUUUCUUUUUUUAGUUAAGUGU
rnacentral:lncRNA from 1 species